AGUGAACGCUGGCGGUAGGCCUAACACAUGCAAGUCGAACGGCAGCACAGUAAGAGCUUGCUCGUACGGGUGGCGCGUGGCGGACGGGUGAGGAAUACAUCGGAACCUACUUUAUCGUGGGGGAUAACGUAGGGAAACUUACGCGAAUACCGCAUAUGACCUACGGGUGAAAGCAGGGGAUCUUCGGACCUUGCGCGAUUGACUGAGCAGAGGUCGGAUUAGCUAGUUGGGGGGGUAAAGGCCCACCAAGGCUACUAUCCUUAGCUGGUAUGAGAGGAUGGAUCGCCACACUGUCACUGAGACACGGCCCCGACUCCUACGGUGAGACGCAGUGGGGAAUAUUAGACGAGGGGGGCAAGCCUGAUAUAGCCAUACCGCGGGGGUGAAGAAGGCCUUCGGGUGGGUAAGCCAUUUUGUUGGGAAAGAAAAGCAGCAGGUUAGUCCCCCGCUGUUCUGACGGUACCCAAAGAAUAAGCACCGGCUAACUUCGUG
rnacentral:rRNA from 1 species